UACGUAGGGUGCAAGCGUUAAUCGGAAUUACUGGGCGUAAAGCGUGCGCAGGCGGUGAUGUAAGACAGGUGUGAAAUCCCCGGGCUCAACCUGGGAAUGGCGAUGGUGACUGCAAGGCUAGAGUUUGGCAGAGGGGGGUAGAAUUCCACGUGUAGCAGUGAAAUGCGUAGAUAUGUGGAGGAACACCGAUGGCGAAGGCAGCCCCCUGGGUCAAAACUGACGCUCAUGCACGAAAGCGUGGGGAGCAAACAGG
rnacentral:rRNA from 1 species